UUUAGUAAAGGGCAAACCUGCCAAAAGGCAGGGACGCAAAGCCGAGGGUCUAAAGCGUUUGUUGCGCCAUGACAGCCUAGCUGCCGAU
rnacentral:ncRNA from 1 species